CUUUUUAAAUUUAUUUUUGUUUUCCUAUUAUUUUAAGUAAUCAAUUUGUUACGGAUCCGAGCUUCAUCACCAAGCCUCUGUUCAUCAAAACCCUUGAUUUUGCUGAUUUUGCUAUUGCUGUAGGGAGCCAUGGUGUUCUUCAGGAACCCAGCAGUCGAGUAGUCUAAAAAAUUCCGUCAACUGGCUUCAAGUUCAGACCUCCUCAGAUCUUUUAAGUUCUCGUGUGUGUGUGUGUGUGUAGAUAGAGAAAGAGAGUGCAAAAGAGAGAGAACAUGUGGAAUUUAUUCUAAAUAUACUCCUGCGGUUAUGCUCAGUGCAAAUAGAGAACUGACCGUCAUUCUCGGUUGAAGGAAUUUAUUUUCUGAACAACGGGUUUGAUUUGUUAUCUUUAUGUGGAUCACGAACCUCCUUUUGCUGUCAAUGGAGUGCCAUUUCAACGUGGCCUUAUCAAAUUUUUGAUACCACUGGUUUGGAGCUUGUUUCAAUCCUGAUGAGAAUCCGCUCAUGCCCGCACAACCGACAACCCGCUGGGGUGCUAACCCAAUACAGAUGAAGACCAGGCCAAUGACUAGAGCUCAAGCCAAGAUAUUUAAGGAUAACCUGGCUGCUUUUAUAUGGGGAAUAAUAAAUUCUCAAAAGGGCAUGUCAAUAUCCGAAAAUACAAAGCAUGUUUUAAGCAUCCAAGUGAUGGAAGCCAUUAUGAACCCGGGUAGCUGUUUUAGUGCAAUUAAGACUUUGGGCAGCAACGAAUGGAUCCAACACUUUAUGGAUUCAAUGGAUAUCACCAAGAGGCCAUGGAAUCAUGUCAAGGUAGAAUCAAAAGCAUCUAAAGCCAGGUUGUACAGACAACAUCUCAAUUUGGUCGAAAAUGUGUUGUUUAGCUGCUGGCUUUAACUUUUCAUCUUGUUCAAGCAAGUUUGACUUAUCCCAAUCAAGGGACCACAUGUGGGAAUCAUUAUUAAUUAUAUUUUUCAUCCUACAUGGCAUAUGGAAGCUGAUUUGGAGCUCAAACAAGUUGGAAAUUAGUCAAAGAUACCUUAGUAUUCAAAUUAGUCAACUAGUUUCCUAAUUUGAUUUUGACUUUUUGUUUUAGAAAAUUAGUCUUAUAUUU